rnacentral:rRNA from 1 species
UACGUAGGGUGCGAGCGUUGUCCGGAAUUAUUGGGCGUAAAGAGCUCGUAGGCGGUCUGUCGCGUCGAUCGUGAAAACUUGGGGCCUAACCCUGAGCUUGCGGUCGAUACGGGCAUGACUGGAGUUCGGCAGGGGAGACUGGAAUUUACGGUGUAGCGGUGAAAUGCGUAGAUAUCGUAAGGAAGACCAGUGGCGAAGGCGGGUCUCUGGACAGUUCCUGACGCUGAGGCACGAAGGUCAGGGGAGCAAACGGG